rnacentral:rRNA from 1 species
AUUGAACGCUGGCGGCAGGCUUAACACAUGCAAGUCGAGCGGAGACUUCGGUCUUAGCGGCGAACGGGUGAGUAAUACCUAGGAAUCUGCCUAUUAGUGGGGGAUAACGAAUCGAAAGGUUCGCUAAUACCGCAUACGUCCUACGGGAGAAAGGGGGGGAUCUUCGGACCUCUCGCUAAUAGAUGAGCCUAGGCCGGAUUAGCUAGUUGGUAGGGUAAAGGCCUACCAAGGCGACGAUCUGUAGCUGGUCUGAGAGGAUGGCCAGCCACACUGGAACUGAGACACGGUCCAGACUCCUACGGGAGGCAGCAGUCGAGAGGCUUCGGCAAUGGGGGAAACCCUGACCGAGCGACGCCGCGUGGGCGAUGAAGGUUGUAAGAUCGUAAAGCCCUGUCAGGAGGGAAGAACUGCCAAUGGGCAAACAGGCCAUUGGUUUGACGGUACCUCCAGAGGAAGCUCCGGCUAACUCCGUG